ACGGGUGAGUAACGCGUGGGAAUCUACCGUACCCUACGGAGUAGCUCUGGGAAACUGGAAGUAAUACCGUAUACGCCCUUCGGGGGAAAGAUUUAUCGGGGUAUGAUGAGCCCGCGUUGGAUUAGCUAGUUGGUGGGGUAAAGGCCUACCAAGGCGACGAUCCAUAGCUGGUCUGAGAGGAUGAUCAGCCACAUUGGGACUGAGACACGGCCCAAACUCCUACGGGAGGCAGCAGUGGGGAAUAUUGGACAAUGGGCGCAAGCCUGAUCCAGCCAUGCCGCGUGAGCGAUGAAGGUCUUAGGAUUGUAAAGCUCUUUCACCGGAGAAGAUAAUGACGGUAUCCGGAGAAGAAGCCCCGGCUAACUCCGUGCCAGCAGCCGCGGUAAUACGAAGGGGGCUAGCGUUGUUCGGAAUUACUGGGCGUAAAGCGCACGUAGGCGGGUAUUUAAGUCAGGGGUGAAAUCCCAGAGCUCAACUCUGGAACUGCCUUUGAUACUGGGUAUCUUGAGUAUGGAAGAGGUAAGUGGAAUUGCGAGU
rnacentral:rRNA from 1 species